GGGCACUAUCACCGUUUCGGUCGCCUGAGAUGCAAAUAAACUGGCGUUUUCGCGCGGUCGCUUGCAGCUUUGGAGUGUGGUGACCGGCGAAGACAUUUCCUCGUCCAGGCGUUCUGAAUACUCGCCAGUCGUCAUCGUCACCGCGGCUCGUAGUCGCAGCAGUACAUUGCUCGCAUGCCGCCGCGGUCUCCGCUUGCGUUGCGUCGAACAGUCGCGUGCGCGCGAGCGAGAUGGGAGACACCGGCUUCGCUCUCCUCGUCGCGUUAACGGCCGCCCUGGCCGCGCUGUUCCUGGUCCUGCUCGGCGCCGUCAUCCUCCGGCACUACUGCUGGCGGCGCCGCGACGACGUGUCGACGCCCACGCGCCGCGGCUUCGUCCUUUUCGACGUCUGCUUCGCCGACGACAUCAGGCAGCGGCGCGCCGCGAGGCCGCCGCCGCCGCCGUCGUCCAUGGAGAGGAGCCGGGGAAGGCGGUCAGCGCGGGGGGCGGGGGAGGGCCGGGACCACGCGCCCGGCGGCGGCGAGGCCGCGGCGGCGGACGACGACCAGGUGGAGCCCGACGAGUUCGAGAUCGCGCGGUGGAAGAAGAUCUUCGGGGGCCCCAACAGGUCCCUGUCCACGAUAGAUGAAGGGACGGAGAAAGGCGGCACGACGCCGAUCACGACCCCCGCGUUCUGCACGCCGCCGGGGUCGCCUGACCGACGGGAUGACGCCCGGGUCCUCGACAUGGAGGCCAUCGCGGUGCAACUUCGUCAGGCUUAACACUGGGUGAUCAACAACGCCGAAGCAGAUACGUGGAUCGAGGCAGGCGCGUCCGGACUCAAAGCGCUGGCGCAGGGGAUAGCUCGGGAAACUCCAGAUACGCGCUCCUAGGCCGCGUGCAUAUAUACACGCUCGGGAUAAGUUUUUGCUGAGGUUGGAAAAGAUGGAGAGAGGAUAUGUCAAACUAUUAAAGAGAUUUUUCUUAUUUUACUAAAAAAAUAAAGAUGAGAAAGUCAGAUGACAAACUGUUGGCACAAUGUAGCACUGACAAACACUAACGAACUUGUAUCAUAAACUCUAUUUCUUCUAAUACAUGUGUAUUCGAGAAAAAAAAU